UACGUAGGUGGCAAGCGUUGUCCGGAAUUAUUGGGCGUAAAGAGCUCGUAGGCGGUGUGUCGCGUCGGCCGUGAAAACCUGCAGCUUAACUGUGGGCUUGCGGUCGAUACGGGCAUCACUGGAGUUCGGCAGGGGAGACUGGAAUUCCCGUGGUAGCGGUGGAAAUGCGCAGAUAUCAGGAGGAACACCGGUGGCGAAGGCGGGUCUCUGGGCCGAUACUGACGCUGGAGGAGCGAAAGCGUGGGGAGCGAACAGG
rnacentral:rRNA from 1 species